rnacentral:lncRNA from 1 species
UUAUACCUGUCCCAUCCUAUCAGUCCAGGGGUAUUUGGACUUCUAAUCUUAAGUUGAGGGAAUCCUACAUCAGUGGAUACUUACAUAAGGGCAAGCAUAUGGUACCUAGAGCAAGACUUAUGGCCUUUUAUUUGUGAGAGUUGAGAGAGAAGUCCAUUCACCUCGAUUAUGUGCAAAUACUUUAUAAGGUGAGGUUCACUUAGGGAAAGUCGAGGAUGUGUGAGUUUGGGUUCCACAAUGACCAAAGUAGUUGAGAAAGGUUCCUUGAUGAGAAGUGUCAACUCUUGAUGCUCUUGUGUCACAUUCGAU